GAUGAACGCUGGCGGCGUGCGUAACACAUGCAAGUCGAGCGAUCUUCUUCGGAAGGGAGCGGCGGACGGGUGAGUAACGCGUGGGUAACCUGCCCUGUACACACGGAUAACAUACCGAAAGGUAUGCUAAUACGGGAUAACAUAAGAAAGUCGCAUGGCUUUCUUAUCAAAGCUUUUGCGGUACAGGAUGGACCCGCGUCUGAUUAGCUAGUUGGUAAGGUAACGGCUUACCAAGGCGACGAUCAGUAGCCGACCUGAGAGGGUGAUCGGCCACAUUGGAACUGAGACACGGUCCAAACUCCUACGGGAGGCAGCAGUGGGGAAUAUUGCACAAUGGGCGAAAGCCUGAUGCAGCAACGCCGCGUGAGCGAUGAAGGCCUUCGGGUCGUAAAGCUCUGUCCUCAAGGAAGAUAAUGACGGUACUUGAGGAGGAAGCCCCGGCUAACUACGUGCCAGCAGCCGCGGUAAUACGUAGGGGGCUAGCGUUAUCCGGAAUUACUGGGCGUAAAGGGUGCGUAGGCGGUCUUUCAAGUCAGAAGUGAAAGGCUACGGCUCAACCGUAGUAAGCUUUUGAAACUGUAAGACUUGAGUGCAGGAGAGGAGAGUGGAAUUCCUAGUGUAGCGGUGAAAUGCGUAGAUAUUAGGAGGAACACCAGUUGCGAAGGCGGCUCUCUGGACUGUAACUGACGCUGAGGCACGAAA
rnacentral:rRNA from 1 species